rnacentral:rRNA from 1 species
UCCUGAAGGAACGUUGAAGACGACGACGUUGAUAGGUCGGGUGUGUAAGCGCAGCGAUGCGUUGAGCUAACCGAUACUAAUGAACCGUGAGGCUUAACCUUACAACGCCGAAGGUGUUU